rnacentral:rRNA from 1 species
UAGCAUAUGCUUGUCUUAAAGAUUAAGCCAUGCAUGUCUAAGUAUAGAUAAUUCUAACUUUUGAAACUGCGAAUGGCUCAUUAAACCAGUUAUAAUCUGCUCGGCGAAUACUCUAAUUGGCUAACCGUUGUAAUUCAAGAGCUAAUACAUGCAAAAACUCCUGACUGUGGCAACACGGAAGGGAGGGAUUUAUUAGGUACAAAAUCAAUGCUGGCCAUUCCAAACUGGGGUAAAACCUGGGGUCAGGUUCCUUGAUGAUUCAUAAUAACUAACCGAAGCGCAGGGCCCGUCCCGGCGCUGGCACGAAUGAGUUUCUGACCCAUCAACUAUGUUUGCAGUAUAGGGGACUGCAAAGGUCGUAACGGGUAACGGGGAAUAAGGGUUCGAUUCCGGAGAGGGAGCCUGAGAAAUGGCUACCACUUCCAAGGAAGGCAGCAGGCGCGCAAAUUACCCAAUCCUGAUUCGGGGAGGUAGUGACAAGAAAUAGGAUUAUCGGACGCUACGCGUACGAUAUUUCCAAUGAGUACAAUUUAAACACCUUAACGAGGAACAACUA